AUCACUCCUAGGCCUUUUGGCUAAGAUCAAGGGCAAUAUAUGUUCUUAUCAGUUUACUAUCUGAUAUGUCCUCUAUUGGAGGACAAUAAGCUAAAUGGAUUUUUGGAGUUAGGAGUUGGUCUAGGACCUUGCUCCGUCCACUCCAUGCAUCAAUCUGGUAUUGAACUACCUCCAGAAAUGCUGCACUGAGG
ensembl:snRNA U2 U2 spliceosomal RNA